rnacentral:sRNA from 1 species
UGCAAUAUGGGCCACUCCAACACAGAAAUCGAUGUGACCAGCCUCCGCACUCCGGAGCUGACGUGGGAGCGAGUACGUUCUCAGGUGGACCAUGUCAUCUGGCCAGAUGGCAAACGAGUUGUCCUCCUGGCAGAGGUACACACAGAGAAGGACCCUGGCAGAGCAGCACAAGCAGAGUAGUUAGAUCCAUGAGGGGAGAGGGGAGGGAAACAAAUAUUGGGCCUAUGUUUCCCUGAAUUUUAUCUUUGGAGAGAGAGAGAUUUCACAAAUUGGUCCCCAAAAUAAAACCACUUUAAAAAAAUCUACUUUUUACUAAGUAACACUAUUUCCUAACCACAGCUGAUUCUUUAACCUUUCAGACUCAGAUGGAUUUGCAGAAAAUAGGAAAAAGCCUAGAGUCCUGAUCUGGAACUGUAAUUCUUCCUCUUCCAACUGAGUCUAGAGGGGUGUAAAGUCCUCUCCCGCUUUGGCUUGACUUGUAUGCCAUUGGAAUCUGAGACAGAGCUCAUCCCAGGGCUCUCUCUUACCUUUCCAGGGUCGUCUACUCAAUUUGAGCUGCUCAACAGUUCCCACCU